rnacentral:rRNA from 1 species
ACAGCUCGUAGUGACUGCGGAGGAUCAUUAAUAAACCUAGUCGUUCGCGUACAUAGGGGCAACCCUCGCGUGAUGUCAGCAAUACCUAGGUAACCCUUGAAUAAACUACCCUUGUUGCUUUGGCGGGUCGCCUUUUAGGCCAGCGGCUUCGGCUGCUGCGUGCCCGCCAGAGGACCACAACUCUUGUUUUUAGUGAUGUCUGAGUACUAUAUAAUAGUUAAAACUUUCAACAACGGAUCUCUUGGUUCUGGCAUCGAUGAAGAACGCAGCGAAAUGCGAUAAGUAAUGUGAAUUGCAGAAUUCAGUGAAUCAUCGAAUCUUUGAACGCACAUUGCGCCCUUUGGUAUUCCGAAGGGCAUGCCUGUUCGAGCGUCAUUAUAACCACUCAAGCCUUCGCUUGGUAUUGGGGUUCGCGGUUCCGCGGCCUCUAAAAUCAGUGGCGGUGCCUGUCGGCUCUACGCGUAGUAAUACUCCUCGCGUCUGGGUCCGGUAGGUUGCUUGCCAACAACCCCCAAUUUUUUACAGGUUGACCUCGGAUCAGGUAGGGAUACCCGCUGAACUUAAGCAUAUCAUAGNCCCGGAGGA